rnacentral:rRNA from 1 species
CAGUAGCCGCGGGAAUACGAAGGGUGCAAGCGUUACUCGGAAUUACUGGGCGUAAAGCGUGCGUAGGUGGUGGUUUAAGUCCGUUGUGAAAGCCCUGGGCUCAACCUGGGAAUUGCAGUGGAUACUGGGUCACUAGAGUGUGGUAGAGGAUAGUGGUAUUUCCGGUGUAGCAGUGAAAUGCGUAGAGAUCGGAAGGAACAUCUGUGGCGAAGGCGACUAUCUGGGCCAACACUGACACUGAGGCACGAAAGCGUGGGGAGCAAACAGGAUUAGAUACCCGUGUAGUCCCUGUCUCUUAUAA